AUUCCCCUUUAGUCAAACAUUUCCCCGGAUGAUGGUCAGGAAUCUACAAUGUUGUCUUUCUAAUGGGGAACCUGCAGGUAAACCAUCAAACACCUGGAAGACGCUGUGAGGUUUUCUGGGGCUGUGUGAGCAUCGACCUGCUGCUACAGAGGCCGUACUCUUGACCCAGUAACCCACAGGCCCUCCCUUCCAAGCCCCAAACGCCGCUAAGCCCAGAAAUGUGACACUCCAGACAAUUAGCAAGGCUUUGGCAUUUCAUUGCCUGAGUAAAUAAUUAAUCACCGGAUCCUGAACGGGUUUGUCUGCAAGCGAAGGAGGGCGAGGGCAACCGAGGCAGAGGACACAGAAUCUCUUUGUGGAAAAGAAGAGGA